rnacentral:pre_miRNA from 14 species
AGCUCGAGUCUCAGGAUGGUGCGCCCCAGGAAACACCGAUCCCGGACGAGCCCCCAGAUGAAAGAUCCCUGAAGAGAGACCCUUUCUAAAGUCACGGGAAAUCGCGGACCCCAAACACAGAGAGACCA